CACCAUACCUGUCUCGAUUGAAUUUCUCCCUAACCACAAUAGUUGCAAAGUGAAUUCUUCACUUUGCACUAAAAAUACUUGUAAAGGAUUUUUGAAAAUUUCGAGUGUCAUUUUUAUAUAAUUAUUUAAACCUUCCCAGGAGCAGCUGCAAAGGUUGGGUCUAAACAAAUGUAUAAAAUUCACACUCGAAAUUUACAUCCAACUCGAAAAUCCUUCGACAUUAGUUCAAUAUCGAAUCAUGUCCAAAAGUCCUGAUAUUUCUCUCACAUAAGUGCACAAAAUUCGUGACAACUUUCUCGCUAACUCAGUGAGCGGCGGAAAUGCUCAAAAUUUGAGAAUUUUAAAAUCCCGCUGGAGACAUCGAAUUUUAUACGUUUUUCUCUGCAAUGUUAGGAUUUGAAUACUUACAUCAAGUACUGUUAUUUUCUCGUACUGUAGCGAUGAAUCAUGAGUUAUGAUAACUUCGGGAUUGUAUGAGAUCUCGUCUUGAUUACUUAGAUAAAUGACUGCUGUGAGGACUUUUGUUUUGCCUAUUGUGAUUUCUUUCAUGUCGGGACUAGAAAUAGAGAAGACAUAUUGAAUAUAUAUAUAUACUAAUUAUAAUCUUAAAAUUUUAUUAAUCGCUACACAGUGUUUCACGCUUUCAAAGCGAUCUUCAGGCG